UCCCAUUUCCAACGCAAUUUAUAACUGCUGAUUUAAAUUAAAAUUAUUGUUAAUCAAAAGAUCUCAUAAAUUUUAACUUACUAAUCCAUAAUUUAAUAUUUCUAUUUCCAGAUUUGCAGUAACAAUGUAGAUACAACAAAUCGAAUGAAUAUAUAGCAGUCUAUAAUAUGAAAAAGAUUUGCAGUAACAAUGUAGAUACAACAAAUCGAAUGAAUAUAUAGCAGUCUAUAAUAUGAAAAAGAUUUUUAUUGGAUAUUCUUACAUAGUUUCAUUAUCUGCUACUGAUUAAUAUGAAAAUAUGUUGAACAGGGUUGAUAUUUAUUAGCUGGUUAGAGAAUUUUAUUAUAAGAUUGACAGAAAGAAGCAUUUGUUUAAUGUGGUGUUAAAAUUGUUGCGGAUGUUAGGUUACAAAAUUUUAUUCUAAGAUUGACGGAACCAUCUUUUGUUAAUGUGGUAUUAACAUUUGUGCUGUUGUUAUACAGAAUAUAUCAAAAUUUUAGAUCAAAACAUUUUAAACUAGACAAGUUAUUGGGCAAGUCGAUUUGAAAAUAUUCGAAUUUUUAGAAACUGCUACAAGUAUAUUUUGCAUAAAUUCGUUUAUUUCUGUCGGUGAAUCGAAAUGCCCAAUAAUUCGAAUAGUUGUGAUGUUUUUAAUAUAGAUAUGUAUGUAUACAUGCAUUUUUUAUUUUUUUCAGAAUUUUUAAAUAAAGUUAAAAAAAAAUA